GAUGAACGCUGGCGGCGUGCCUAAUACAUGCAAGUCGAGCGAACAGAUGAGGAGCUUGCUCCUCUGACGUUAGCGGCGGACGGGUGAGUAACACGUGGAUAACCUACCUAUAAGACUGGGAUAACUUCGGGAAACCGGAGCUAAUACCGGAUAAUAUAUUGAACCGCAUGGUUCAAUAGUGAAAGACGGUUUUGCUGUCACUUAUAGAUGGAUCCGCGCCGCAUUAGCUAGUUGGUAAGGUAACGGCUUACCAAGGCAACGAUGCGUAGCCGACCUGAGAGGGUGAUCGGCCACACUGGAACUGAGACACGGUCCAGACUCCUACGGGAGGCAGCAGUAGGGAAGCUUCCGCAAUGGGCGAAAGCCUGACGGAGCAAAGCCGCGUGGGUGAUGAAGGUCUUCCGAUCGUAAAACUCUGUUAUUAGGGAAGAACAAAUGUGUAAGUAACUAUGCACGUCUUGACGGUACCUAAUCAGAAAGCCACGGCUAACUACGUG
rnacentral:rRNA from 1 species